rnacentral:rRNA from 1 species
GGGCCCGCACAAGCGGCGGAGCAUGUGGAUUAAUUCGAUGCAACGCGAAGAACCUUACCUGGGUUUGACAUGCACAGGACGCCGGUAGAGAUAUCGGUUCCCUUGUGGCCUGUGUGCAGGUGGUGCAUGGCUGUCGUCAGCUCGUGUCGUGAGAUGUUGGGUUAAGUCCCGCAACGAGCGCAACCCUUGUCUCAUGUUGCCAGCACGUGAUGGUGGGGACUCGUGAGAGACUGCCGGGGUCAACUCGGAGGAAGGUGGGGAUGACGUCAAGUCAUCAUGCCCCUUAUGUCCAGGGCUUCACACAUGCUACAAUGGCCGGUACAAAGGGCUGCGAUGCCGUGAGGUUUAGCGAAUCCUUUAAAGCCGGUCUCAGUUCGGAUCGGGGUCUGCAACUCGACCCCGUGAAGUCGGAGUCGCUAGUAAUCGCAGAUCAGCAACGCUGCGGUGAAUACGUUCCCGGGCCUU